UAUUGUCAUUAUCAGCAUUUUCCUAACGAUAGCGUAAUGAGUAGGCCAUCAUUUGAUGGCUUCUACGUUCUAGCUAAACUCAAAUCUAAGGUCUUCUUUCGCGCUCUAACACAAACGCAAUCCAAUCGAACCCCCCAACCAUGUCUCCCGACCAGCUCAAUACCCUCGAUUCCCAGCCAACAGUCCCCGAAAACAUUUUUCAUACGAGCUAGGGAGAACUUGAAAUGAAAACCGAAUGCAUAAAUAUAUGGAUAUAAAUCAUAUAAAAUACGAUACUUUAAUACUAUUAAAAUGAAAAGCGAGUGAGACAACCGAGUGUGCUCCUCACAAAAAGUAAGCACCUUGCGCAUUGUUCUUUCUAUCUGGGUUUUGGUUUGGUUUUGGGUCUUAAGUUGUGGGUUCUGGGCACUGGGUGGCGUGCCUAUCGGAAAUCAAUGGAUCGUUGAACCGCGCUCCUAUCGCGGUUCCCAAAGUCAUUUCAUGGUCGCAUUAACAAUUCUCUGUGCAUUUAUGGUUUCUUUUAAUUAUUUUAGAAGACAGCAGCAGUCGGCGCUGCGUUGGCCAUUUUUGGUCUGUGCGAUUGGAUGGUUUGGAUGGUUGGCCAGGUUAUUUUCGUCGACGGGCAAUCGUUUCAAAUGGCUGACGCAACGGCGCAAUUAUUUUUCGAAAAAAAAAUGUUCAUAAAUAAAAACACAUAUUUAUUUAUUAAUUUUUCUCUGCGCCUGGUCCACUUCGCAGCUGCUUUUUCUUUCUUUCAGUAAUUGUCGUUUUUGCAUACUAUUGCUCGCCUGUCAUCCGCUGCCAGCGAAAAGACAUUGACCCACAUUAUCCAUCCAUGCCAGCAAAUGUCUGAUCUGAAUGCUGCCGAAAUUUCUGGCGAGGAAUGAGUGACAACAUUUGGGCUACACAUGCUCACUUUCGCUCUCGAAAUGUUCGAAAUAUAAAUACUAUAUUCGUUUUCGCUACUUCUGGUGAAAACUCAAAUUAAUCACGGAAAACGCUGGAGUGGCGAGGGUGCCCGACCACUUUUAUCAGCCGUAAAAUUAAUCAAACAUUAUUAUUAUUUCUUAUAUGGCCAUCUCCAAACGGAGCAUUCAAAUAUCUAUCUUUCACCGCGGGCAGCGAGUAGUUUUCCACGUUGGCUCAUUCAAUUAAAUAUGCUAAUUUCAGUUUCCACCGUAUUCUGAGCGCAGUUUUGACUGGUUGCCUACUGGCUAACAGUAACCUUCACUGCCACGAAAACGUCUAAUCUGCUCGAAGGUCAUCCAGAACACCACCGAGGCAGGUCCGACACGCAUCCAAUAUGGAAUGAAUCCCUUGUACAUUGCCAAAAAGCCCUCCUCUCUAACCAACCUACUUAAGCAAUCCAGGGAGCCCUUGUAAUGAAUGCCGCGUCCCUGCCCAUCGGUUGGCUGAUUCAUGAUCCGGGACUUGACCACGUCCGCCGGCAAGCUCAGAAUGGCAUCCGCUACGCCGGCGGUCAUGGCGGCUAGGAACUGGACUUCUCGGUUAUCCACCAGAUCGAACUCGGCAAUCAGAAACCGUUUGCAAAAGUCAUAGCAACUGACGUCCCCUUUGGAAGAAAAUAAUUAAUAAAAAGCUUAAAGCUACUAAACUCA